rnacentral:rRNA from 1 species
CAGUCGCCGCGGUAAUGCGUAGGGUGCGAGCGUUGCUCGGAAUGACUGGGCGUAAAGGGCGCGUAGGCGGCGGCCAAAGUCAGGCGUGAAAUUCCUGGGCUCAACCUGGGGGCUGCGCUUGAUACUUGGUUGCUUGAGUGGGGAAGAGGGUCGUGGAAUUCCCAGUGUAGAGGUGAAAUUCGUAGAUAUUGGGAAGAACACCGGUGGCGAAGGCGGCGACCUGGUCCUUGACUGACGCUGAGGCGCGAAAGCGUGGGGAGCAAACAGGAUUAGAGACCCGGGUAGUCCCUGUCUCUUAUAC